rnacentral:rRNA from 1 species
AUUGAACGCUGGCGGCAGGCCUAACACAUGCAAGUCGAGCGGAUGAAGGGAGCUUGCUCCUGGAUUCAGCGGCGGACGGGUGAGUAAUGCCUAGGAAUCUGCCUGGUAGUGGGGGAUAACGUCCGGAAACGGGCGCUAAUACCGCAUACGUCCUGAGGGAGAAAGUGGGGGAUCUUCGGACCUCCCGCUAUCAGAUGAGCCUAGGUCGGAUUAGCUAGUUGGUGGGGUAAAGGCCUACCAAGGCGACGGUCCGUAACUGGUCUGAGAGGAUGAUCAGUCACACUGGAACUGAGACACGGUCCAGACUCCUACGGGAGGCAGCAGUGGGGAAUAUUGGACAAUGGGCGAAAGCCUGAUCCAGCCAUGCCGCGUGUGUGAAGAAGGUCUUCGGAUUGUAAAGCACUUUAAGUUGGGAGGAAGGGCAGUAAGUUAAUACCUUGCUGUUUUGACGUUACCAACAGAAUAAGCACCGGCUAACUUCGUG